rnacentral:rRNA from 1 species
CCUACGGGAGGCAGCAGUGGGGAAUAUUGCGCAAUGGAGGCAACUCUGACCCAGCAACGCCGCGUGAAUGAUGAAGGUCUUCGGAUCGUAAAGCUCUGUGAUGGGGGAUGAACACAAUGACGGUACCCCAAUAGCAAGCCACGGCUAACUACGUGCCAGCAGCCGCGGUAAUACGUAGGUGGCAAGCGUUAUCCGGAAUGGAUGGGCGUAAAGGGUGCGUAGGUGGUUUGGUAAGCCAGCGGUGAAAUUCCGGGGCUCAACGUUGGCGCUACCGCCAAAACUAUUAGACUAGAGUGCAGGAGAGGUAAGUGGAAUUCCAGGUGUAGCGGUGAAAUGCGUAGAUAUCAGGAGGAACAUCAGGGGCGAAGGCGACUUACUGGAGUGUAACUGACGCUGAGGCACGAAAGCGUGGGGAGCAAACAGGAUUAGAUACCCUAGUAGUC